AAUACUAAGAGCAGGUUAUAAUUAUAUUUAUCGAUCCUAUGUUCGGUGUGUGCAAAUACUAAGAGCAGGUUAUAAUUAUGUUUAUCGAUCCAAUGUUCGGUGUGUGCAAAUAUUUAGAGUAGGAUAGAAUUAUUUUUUAUACUAUCAAGUGUAUUCCAGAUUAAGAGUAGGAUAGCAGAUUCUUGUUACCCCCUAUACAUAUCGUCCCAUCCUAUGAGAUUAAAAUAAUUCUCCCCUUUCCCUUGGGAUUGAACAUCCUAUCCAAGGAGGAUGACUACUAUCCUCCACUU
rnacentral:lncRNA from 1 species